rnacentral:lncRNA from 1 species
GCCCGCCCGGCUGCGCAUCCACCCUGGGCUCCUGGGCAGAGGAGGCGCGGCAAAGACUGGUGAAAUUCAUUGACUUGGGCAGAGCAGCUGUAAAACCUGGAAAAGAAGAAGCAGUGAAUUCAACAGGAUAGAGGGGGAGGAAGCAGAGGAUGCCAAGUAGAGUAACUCUGUGGAGCCCAGGGAAACCCUGCUGCCUUCACGGGCAGCAGCCCCGAAUUCCUGGGUGCUCCCAGAGCUGGGUCUGCUGGCCACCUACCCCUGAAGCAGGAUGGAGGGCGACGUUUCCCUUGUUCCUUCUUUAAUUGAAGAACGAAAGAACAUCCUCCACGUUGAAUAGCUCUCUCAUGUGUCUUCUUAUACGUUCUACCCAUGAGGAAUUGUACCCCGGGGAACAGAGGUCAGGGAAGAUCUGCAGGCCCAGAAAUAUAGGAAGAGCAGACAAAUUGCUAACCUGGCUCUUCUCUACAGAGCCCUUCACCGCAUUUGAGGGUUGGUGUAGCCAUGCACUGAGUUCUGGCCAAUGGAAUGUAGUGGAAAAGAUAUGAGCCACCAUGAGACCCGGUCCCUGCUGUGUCUCCUCUCUCUGCCAGUCAGAUGUUGACACUCAGGGAGACCUUGGAAGACAAGAGUUGAAAAUGAAGCCCUUCCGUCAGUCUAGGUUUCUGAAUGACUGUACAGAGCAGAGCCUCCUGCCUCAGAUUUGACUUUACACACGUGCCAAAUAAACUGACCUUGUUUUAGGCCUCUUA